rnacentral:rRNA from 2 species
GGACUACUGGGGUAUCUAAUCCCGUUUGCUCCCCUGGCCUUCGCGCCUCAGCGUCAGGAACUGUCCAGAGAUCCGCCUUCGCCACUGGUCUUCCUCACGAUAUCUACGCAUUUCACUGCUACACCGUGAAUUCCAAUCUCCUCUCCAGUCCUCUAGCAAAGCAGUAUCGAGUGCAGUUUCAGAGUUGAGCUCUGAGAUUUCACACCCGACUUACCCCGCCGCCUACGCGCCCUUUACGCCCAAUGAAUCCGAACAACGCUUGAGACCUCUGUAUUACCGCGGCUGCUGGCAC